AAGUAAAGAAGUAAAAGUUACAUUUAGUUUCGACCUAAAAAUAGAGUUAUUACUCCAUACUUA
rnacentral:tRNA from 1 species